rnacentral:rRNA from 1 species
GGCUUAACACAUGCAAGUCGAGGGGCAACAUGAGUAGCAAUACUUGAUGGCGACCGGCGCAAGGGUGCGUAACGCGUGAGCAACAUGCCUAUCACAGGGGGAUAAUCCAUGGAAACGUGGUCUAAUAUCCCAUAGUAUUAAGAAGGGGCAUCCCUUUUUAAUUAAAGCUUUGGUGGUGAUAGAUUGGCUCGCGUGACAUUAGCUAGAUGGAGAGGUAACGGCUCCCCAUGGCUACGAUGUCUAGGGGUUCUGAGAGGAAGGUCCCCUACACUGGUACUGAGACACGGACCAGACUCCUACGGGAGGCAGCAGUGAGGAAUAUUGGACAAUGGGUGAAAACCUGAUCCAGCCAUGCCGCGUGCAGGAAGACGGCCCUAUGGGCUUGCCUC